CCGUGCUAGGUGGGGAGCUAGCGGUGCCCUGUAACUCACAAUCCGCUUUAGUGAGACCGAUCAACAGGUUGAGGCAUGUAGUAGUAGGGUUUUGCUCCUGUGAAAGUGGUGAUGAAGGCCGGGUCCUGUGCGGCGGAGGGUUAUAAACCCCGCCAGGUCUGAAAGGAAGCAGCGGUAAGUAACAUUCUCCGGGUGCCACAGGGAAAUCUGGCUGGAGCUAACUGCUCAGGAAGCACUUGUUAUUGUAUGUCGAUCCUGGGGCACGG
rnacentral:SRP_RNA from 1 species